rnacentral:rRNA from 1 species
UACAGAGGGGGCAAGCGUUGUUCGGAAUUACUGGGCGUAAAGGGCGCGUAGGCGGCCUUCUAAGUCGAACGUGAAAUCCCCGGGCUCAACCCGGGAACUGCGUCCGAUACUGGAAGGCUUGAAUCCGGGAGAGGGAUGCGGAAUUCCAGGUGUAGCGGUGAAAUGCGUAGAUAUCAUCAGGAACACCGGAGGCGAAGGCGGCUCACUGGGUCUUUCCUGACGCUGAGGAACGAAAGCUAGGGGAGCGAACGGG